AUGCUUAUCCAUCCAUCAAUCUUUCCAUCCAACCAUCAGUCUCCAUCCAUCCAUAGAAUCUGCAGCAAAACCAAACACAGAUUUGCAAUGUUUUUUAUUUUAUUUUAUUUUAAUGUCAAUGUAAUCAUGAUUUAACUGUACACGGGUUUAAGUCAAACAAGGGUUUGAACAUUUGUGUUUCUAUUUUCAUCACUUUUUUUUUUUGAGGCUUGUCAAACAAUAGCGCCCCCACCAGCAGCAGCAGCAGUAGCUAUAAGGUCACACCUGUAAAAUGUCUUAAAAGAUUGGAGUUCAUUGGACAAAAUUAGAUAAAUUAACAAAUUAUUGACAAAUUAACUCUGUCGGUGUAGUGUGUGGUUUGAGUUUUGCCCUAACAGUCAUGCUUUCCUAAAUUGUUUCACUUUCCUUUCUGUCGUCUGUCUGAUGUCAUUUGGGUUAGAGCAUAAACAAUUUCAAAAUUGGGGGAAUGUUUCCUCUUAUAGGUUAAUUAAGUUCUUUUCUAUUCUAUUUUUAACUUGAUGACCUUUUCUGUCAAUGACAAAGAACACUUUUUCAAAAGAGGAUAUGCCCGUUUUUAGGUAUUUGACUUUCAUCAUGCCUUGUCCAGUGGAAGUUGAACCUCUGCCUGCUCUUAGUCAUUUCCAGAUUAGUUUUCUUGCUUGCUUAAUCCUCCCUGUUCUUUAUCUCCUUCAGAUUUGAAUUCCCACUCAUCUUGCAAGUACUGUCUUAAGGUCAAGCUGAAAUUUCCCGUCCACUUAGGAAAAGCUUAACAUAGAGCUAAACUUGAAAAGUUGCAUUACCUGCGAUAAUGCUAGUGUGAAUUCUUUUUGCUGAAUCUGGACGUUGAAUAUGCUCAAGUUUUUUGCUGAAGAUGCUGAAGGAAUUUACUGUAGUUGCUAAAGGGAUUUGCUGAAAUGCUAAAGAUAUUUGCAUAAUGCUAAAGUUGCGAAAAGACUUAAAGUUGCGGAAAUUGCAGAAAAUGUGCACAAAGAAUUUAAGUAAUUUCUUGACUAAUUGGAAACAUUGCAAAGAUUAAAAAAAAGGUAUGACCACAGAAUAUUUUGAGAGUAUUUUGCUAAAAUGUUCGCUUUUCUAAAAUUCAAAAAUUCUAAAAAAUUCCCCAAAUCCAUAGUAGAUGCCAUAUUAACCAAACAAUCUAGUAUGUUGCUAAAAUAUUAGUUUAACUAAGAAUUAGCAUAGCAAAACCUCUGUUGAUGUCACUUUAGCCAAAAACUGCUCCACUCCAUUCUGGUGCAUCCACUUACAGACAAAUAGAUCCAUGAACGUCUUUGUUUCCCUCGUCAGAGCUGACAUCUGGAUCUAAACUGUACAGCUGGAUAGUCCCGAUAUAGCUUGCCAUUUUUGUUGUACUGCUAAUGUUAGGUUGAAAGUGUGAGGGGCUGUAAGCUAGUGGGAGAGCGCAUAAACAAAGAGCUUCUAGCCUUGGGGGGAGGGAAGGGGCCUGUUCCAGGCCAGCAGUCCCGCCCACAACCAGAGGUGAAUUCCUAGUACGGUCCAGCCACUCAGUGUCCUAGGGAAUAUUUUCCUGCACAUAAACUCAAACACUUUACAAAAUCAGACAAUGCAUCAUCCGAAACAAAAUUCUCAACCCAGAGUGAGCUGUGCUCAUCAGUUGUCAGAGCUUGUUAGUUGUGAUAUUUGUCUGCAAAUGUCAAACAUCAGGUUUUCUGUAUUCUGAUUAACCUGCAAAGAAAUGCUGCUUCAUUAGUCCACAGACUUUUCUUGGAAAAGGGUUUCUUUUUGUUCUUAUCACAAAAAGGGUUCUUCUUGUUGUUUAUUUUCAUGUUGGAGCUGGAAUCUUUCUUUAAGCAGCCUUUUUCUCAAUUGAUGCCCAAAACUUUUGUGAAAGUUUAAAAUCAGAAAAGUUUAGUCAAAAUAUGUUAAUAUAGUUGAAACUGCCUUUGUUUGACACAUUAAUUUUACUUUUCUAAAAACUUUUCUUCUUCACAAAUGAUUAAACAAUGAAAGGAUAACCCCUCUGAGAUUGUUCAGCUUAAUAUCACUGUAGAUGACACGCAGGCUUGUUACUGUUGUCCAAGAUAAGUAAAGAGUGACGCCAUAUUGGAAUGGUAUAAAAACAAUGAGACAUGGUUUAGCAGACACAGUAAAAUGACAAUAAAGGAAAAAACCCUGAUCAUCAUCAGUAUCAUCAUGGUAAUAAUGCUUUUGUACAAAGUACAACAAUUAAACGACAUUUCAAACUUUACAGGCUAGAAUAUAGGAAACGCAAUGCAUACCUAAUGCAUGGUUGUGAUUUCAUUCAAAUCUACUCACAGACUUAAAUUUACACAAACAGUUAUAUUCCUCGGUCUGUAUUUAUCAACAGAUCGGUGGGUAGCCGACAUCGCCGUAGAACGCUAGCGCCCGUUGUAUAUGGGCCGGUCCCCGCCCAGAUCAGCGUGACGCGGUCAGAUGGGUCAGAUCCGACUGAGAACAGUGCAGCCCGGUCGAUCAGCCUAAAUGUUCACUAUUUAGAGUAAACUCACUCAGAUCUUGUUAAAAUGUUUUCUAGAAGUUCUCCUUUAUCAGCUGACAGAAAUCAUUUACUUGUGGAAGUCUCAUUCUUGUUUUUCCAUAUAUGUUUGUACAAUUGUAACACAGCAGUAAACAGACAUCUAAACAGACAUCCAAUAUGGCGUCCAAAUUUGCAAGCUAGGAUGCCACCUCUAGUGACAUAUGACAUAUAACUAAAAGAGUCAAGGUCUCACAUCAACGUGACUGAAACAGGGAUGAUAGUGUUAUGUUGGUGUGUUCAGUGACUCUAAGAACAUCUCACAAAAAAGUAUUAACUCCAGUUGCAAAGCAAUUCCAUGUCUGUAGAAUCCUGAGGUGUCCUUGGUUGGUGGUAUAAUCUGUACGUCUGUUCAGGUUUUAUUAAAUGAGUUAGGAUAUGGAUAUUGUGUAUUAAUAGAAUUAAAGGAGCUGGUUAGGAGCAGAAGAUUUUUUUAUUCAAACAAACCUUGGAACUGAAAGAGGAGAGUUAUCAUGUUGAGAUUUCUGCUUUUCUUACAGGUUUGUGUCUGCACAGCUGAACAGAAACACCAUUUUUAGUCUCUUCAAUUCAUAAUAAAAUAAACUUUUCUCAUUAGUCUUUUUUUCAGCCUGUCUGUGUUCCCGUUGGUGUGUAAAACCAUCUCAGUAUCUGUUGAAAAGUUUAGUCAUGAAAAGCUAAUUACCUCAAAACGAUUAGGCCCCAUCAGCUUAACUACAGCACAAUUGAUUCAAAAAGAUCAAUAACAACGCAAGCAUAAACUUCACUCGUGCAAGCAUUGUUUUGGAAUUAGACUUUAAGUGGACAAUUUCAAGAAGCAGGUUCAACAAAUUCAGAGUUAAAACCUGCACUCAGGGUUGACUGUCUCAGAGUUUGUAAAUUCAACUCUGAGUAGUUGGACUCAGAAUCAGGUGCAAACGGGAACAAACACUUUUAGAGCUUCAUGCUUCACGGUGACAGAAAUUGAUGUGUUCCUACAAGCAUAUCCCAACUACGAGCACAUUUUCCACAAAAAGAGCAACACAGCUACGGCAGGAUAACAGAGAGAAAAAAUAUCUCUGUUAAUCUCUUACAUGGCGGCGUCUCGAGUGUUUGAGGUUUAUAGAUUUCCGUUGUUAAGGGUUUAAAUAGAGGAAAAGAAAACUCAGCAUUAUUAAUACGAGUCCCUGGAAAAACAGUAUCACUCAAAUAAAAAUGAAUUGGGACAUGCCAGGCAAUCGACUCGUGUCCUCAAAAUCCAUUUCCUGAUGUAAAUGAGCACUUUAAGAAGGGGCGGAGACCGCAGGGAACUCUGAGUUUCCUGAAGGAAACCUGCUCCAGACCAGGUUAGGUUCACAGAGUCAGUUGCCAUAGUGAUGAACUCUUAGUUCAGCUUACCCCACUUUGAGAAACGGAUUUGGUUUAACCCACUUUCCCGGUUUAAGUUACCUCCGUUUCUGAAACCAGACAUUAAGAGUUUUCCUUAACUCUGAGUUCACAAACUCAGAGUUUCAUCAACACCUGCUUCUGGAAACGGGCCCCAGGUGUUCAGAAUGAUGAGAUUGCUUGGUUUAAUUAACCUUAACUGCAGUCACACAUGUUGGAGCAGCAGCAGCAACAUUUUCCAGCAAAUUCUGCUCCUUAGUUCUUUUCUAUCUUUAGUCCCUCUGUCCCCGGCACGCAUGGAUCAGCCCCGCUCCUGCCUCUUUGGCUCUGGUUUGAUUGUUUCCUCACAUUUCUGACAACAAGGCUUCAGUAAGCACCUGCGCCACACACAAGAGCUACUCUGGGAUUAUAACUCCAAUUUCUCUCUAAUCACAGCUUCACCUUCAUGUGAGACCUCCAUCAGCACCCCACCCCCCCAGCGUUCAUAACACUUCACUGUAUUGCUUGUUGAUCUUCUAUCAGCGAGGAUGUACUUUCUUUCAUCCUUAAACUUCAGGAACCAGCAUUUGCUUCACAGCCCUCUUCUGAAGCAGCUGUUGUUGGAUCUGAAGCAGGUCUCGCCUGAAGCUUUACUGCUCAGCAUCAGUGUUUGUUUAAGGAGCUUCUGUCAUCUGGUUAGUGACCCUACAGAAGGUUGUGCAUUAAGGACUUUCUUCUGUGAUUUAGGUCAUCAUGUGGUCAUCAGCACAACUACAUGCAAUAUCCACUUAUCUUAAUCUGCAUGUGCUUCCGACCAAAGACGCUUACCUUGAGCAGAGCACGACUUCUGCAGGAGCUGGACAUGACAUCCAUUCUAGUGAAAGACUCAUGGGGACAUCUAGUGACAGAAAAUAUAUUGAAGUCGAGGGGAGCCAACAGUCCAGCGAAUUUAUGCCGUGAGCUGAAGCAGACCGACCAAACUGUGAAAAACGUCUUGGAUUUCAUCAGGUAAACUGAAUGUUUAAAAUAUUUCAAGUGUUUGGAAGUUUCUUUAUUUGAUUUACAGUUUAUUAAUGUUUUAUUUGUUGAUGGUGGCUUGCAGGAUCUCUGCAGAUUACGUUGAUGAAGCCGUCGAUAUCCGCGCAGCUGUUCACUUCCAGUCAUUUCUUCCUCCGCGACAGACCAGAUCUCCUCUAACUCUGUGCUGCUUCCGUCUGAAGAGGACUAGUUUUCUGAAUUUUCAAUGUUCUUGUGCUAAUGUA